rfam:Paracoccus denitrificans PD1222 chromosome 2, complete sequence.
AGCAUAUUUUGCGAUGGCGGAGCUCGACCGCCGGUCGAAGUGAUGGUGGGUUUCAUCGACGCGCACCGGGAUGCGCACGGGGUCGAGCCGAUCUGCGACGUGCUGCCGAUCGCCCCG